CCCACAAUCCCCGGCACCCGCACUGCAACUAUUCCCUGCCCGGUUCUUCCCCAGGCGACAGCCCGCCGAUGCCUCUCAUCCCCGCACUCGUCGGCAACCCCUGCCCCACAAGGUCCUCGGCGCCCCAUAGCCACCUCGCUCGCACCUCCCUGCCCUAUCUCUGGCCCCGCAACUGAUCCUCUGCUGCCCCACGUAGGCCGCGGCCCCCGCCGAUCCUCUUCUGCCGGACACGAGAGCAGGCCGCAGCCCCAGCCGUUCCUCCUCUGCUACUUCAGGUACGCCAGCGCCGAACAGACAGCACGGCCGCCGCUGCCGCCCGCCGCUCCUCAUCGUCUGCACCCAUGAAGUUGCUGCAAUUAAGGUGUCACUCCAGUAGGAGGGGCGCUAAGGAAGGCGCAUCAGGCACGUUGUUGCGGCGGCCGUGAAGGCCGGAGAAGAGGUGGAUGGGUUUCUCACAGUUUCUGUGGCUCGCGGUGUUCAUCCGACUCUCUAGAAUAACUAGAAAAUGAGUUCCCACAAUUCCUACAUCAAAGGUUGUAUCUUUCAGCACUUUGUUAUUGGGCGUGCCUACUUACUAAUUCUAUUUGAUAAGUCAACCUGGGAAACUGCGGAAUGGUGCUGAAUGAAGUUGUUAAUAUGAUUUCUUUUGUGUUUGCUACUGAUAUAUCUCUAAACUUGCAUUUCUCUGCUAUGUUUGUCUGUCAGAGCUGUUGCUCGAUAAGGCUGACGUGCACCAAUGUAAACUUCAGAUUGAGCUUACAACACGGUGAGGGUUUACCUUGAUUCUGCAUGAUGCCGGACUACCAACAUUUCAGAUUUCACUGCAAGCACAUAUUUUUCUCUGAACUUUGGAGCUGAAUCAAGAGUAACCACUGAGUAUUUCAGUUAUUUUCCGGCGAGUCAUACUACCUCAAUUAAACUGCCCCAGCAUCAUAUAUUUAGGAAUGGAGGUAGUACAUCAGACUUAAUGCAGAUCGACCAGCUGAAAGUUUAUUUUUAUGAUAUGUUUAUUACUUGGUGAUUCCAGCUGAUGUACAACAAAAAUUGUGUGAUCCAGCAUGAUGUUCUUCCUGUUCUACAGGUUCAUUCUAAUGAUUCUUAUUUGCGUUCGGUCACAGGAUUGUUCCCUCCAGCUGUUCGAUUUGCACAUGCGACAAUCGAAGUGUGCCUAUGUUUGGCUGCCCCGUUCACAGAUAUACAGGUUGAAUUCUUCGUUCUUUAUUAUAGGCCGGUUCAUGUGCUUUGACUUGUGAUCUGGGUCGGCGCAUCUAUUAUUUUCGGUCGCAAAUGUGCGCUAGCUCAUGCCUCUCUUGGGUGAUAUAAUCUUUUUGGGGUUUCUCAUAAACUGCAGUGUAUGUAUUAUGCAGAUGAACAAAACCAUUCAGGUUCCGCAUCCACCCAUCAGGUUCUCUAUUAUACUGCAGGAGGAAAUCCUUUCUUAUUGACCCUUCAAGCGGUAGUCUUUUAGAGGCAGCUUUUGUGCUUUUCCCUUCCGCUGGAACUGCAUGCAGAGUUUGAGUUCAUGGAGUGCCUUUGGCCUUCAGAAAGAAGAAGAAUAAAUGUUUCGUCGUUGAUCUUUCUUAUGUUUCUAGGUGCAUUGUUUUAGGUUAUGCCCUCAUAUGCAGAGAUGGAAAAUCACACAUUUUGCAUCCAGCUUUCAAUGGGAAUAAAUUGAAUUUUGUUUUGAAGCUUGCCGAUGAAUCAAGAAUAUAUCUCUGAAAGCUGCUUCUUUUUUGCAAAAAAAAAAAGAAGCUGAUUUAAGCAUCAUUGCAAUUCAAAACCUACACAGUAUUUAUUUCUGCAUUUAUUUGAAGAUGAGAAUAUACUGACUUCAAUAUCGAGUGUCGAUCCAUUGUUUUCUGCAGGUAAGUAUUAUUUUUUAUUUCCUAAAAAGGAUUUGAAUAUCAUUUU